GAACUUCUCCGCGAAGAAGAGCUGAAGUGGGCGCUCAGAGCAAAGGUUCGCAAAGUAAUCCAAGGGGAUGCGAACACUCAAUUCUUUCAUCUGAUUGCGAAUGGCAAACACAGAAAGAAAAAAAUAUUUCAGCUCGAGCAAGAUGAAGGCACAAUUGUUGGUCACGAUAAUCUUAAGCUAUACAUCACCGAAUACUACAAGCAGUUAUUUGGACCGCCGGAGGAUAGCGCUGUGUCCCUCGAUGAGUCCAGGACUGAGGAUGUGCCUCAAUUAACUGCUGCUGAUAAUGACAUGCUAGUUGCGCCGUUUACGGAAAAGGAGGUUUUCGAUGCCAUCUCUCAGAUGGAGAACAAUAAGGCUCCCGGGCCGGAUGGGUUCCCGGCGGAGUUUUACAAAAGAUGUUGGCAUAUCAUCAAAGGGGAUCUGCUACCCAUGUUCCACGACCUUUUUGCUGGACGGCUUCAACUUUUUCAUUUGAACUUUGGAACGAUAACGUUGCUUCCAAAGAAGACCGACGCUCUCAGGAUUGAGCAGUUCCGUCCUAUCUGCCUCUUGAAUGUCAGUUUCAAAAAUUUUACCAAGGUUGGGACUAAUAGGCUCACACAGAUUGCGCAUUCUGUGGUGCAGCAAUCCCAAACAGCUUUCAUGCCAGACAGAAACAUCCUUGAAGGGGUGGUGGUGUUGCAUGAAACGCUCCAGGAAAUUCACUCUAAGAAACUUGAUGGAGUCAUCUUUAAAGUAGAUUUUGAGAAAGCGUAUGACAAA
rnacentral:rRNA from 1 species